rnacentral:rRNA from 1 species
GACGAACGCUGGCGGCGUGCCUAAUACAUGCAAGUCGAACGCAGUGGGGACGGGUGCUUAACAAGUGGGUAACCUCCCAUCAGAGGGGAUAACACUUUGAUACAGGUGCUAAACCGCUACUGGUGGAUGGACCCGCGGUGGAUUAGCUAGUUGGUGAGGUAACGGCUCACCAAGGCCACGAUGACUAGCCGACCUGAGAGGGUGAUCAGCCAGACUGGGACUGAGACACGGCCCAGACUCCUACGGGAGGCAGCAGUGGGGAAUAUUCGGCAAUGGACGAAAGUCUGACCGAGCAACGCCGCGUGAGUGAAGAAGGUUUUCGGAUCGUAAAGCCCUGUUGUUGGAGAAGCGGUAUCUAACCAGAAAGCCACGGCUAACUACGUGCCAGCAGCCGCGGUAAUUC